AACGCACGAGACCUGCGGACCUGCGGAGGGAUCAUUACAAGUGACCCCGGUCUAACCACCGGGAUGUUCAUAACCCUUUGUUGUCCGACUCUGUUGCCUCCGGGGCGACCCUGCCUUCGGGCGGGGGCUCCGGGUGGACACUUCAAACUCUUGCGUAACUUUGCAGUCUGAGUAAACUUAAUUAAUAAAUUAAAACUUUUAACAAUGGAUCUCU
rnacentral:misc_RNA from 1 species